GGGGACGGACCCGGCGGGCGGAAGCCCAGUCCGCCCUCGGGGCCGCGCGUCAGUUCAGUCCAGUGUUCCUGGUCAAGCAACCGUCCUGAGAUGCUGUCCUCCAAAUGGUUACCCAGGCUCUCUCCAUUGUGGUUCUCCACUCAGCCAGCAGAUGGGGAAAGAAAAAGGAAGAUCACUAGAGAAGAGGCAGGCUUGAAAGGGGAGACAUCGAUUUGGCCCACAUUCCAUUGGCUAGAACUCAGUCAUGUGGCCAAGGAAGCUGGAAAAUGUAGUGAGCUGUGCACCCAGGAAAAAAAGGAAACACUGGCAAAUAUUUAACUAGUUUUUGCCAGCUGCAAUGGGAGCUAAAUGUUUUCUGGCUUAUUUCCAAUGAAAAUAGAGUGCCUCAGUCCCUGUAUUCUAAGAAAGACACUGAGAUUCACCUUGAGUCACAGGCUUAUCCCUGAACAGAUGAACUGACCAGGGGACUGCAAUGGGCUGAUGGCCUCAAGCCCACCAGAGUCCACCUCUUGAGCUAGAGGUGGGGUUGGCUUUCCCUGAAAUGUCUGGACUGCAUGGGAAAGAGAUUCACAGCAGCUAAAUGUACUCAGGACUCUCCGAUUACCACUGUCUUUCCAAUUUGGGACUUGGCUGUCAUCAAUCCAGGGAAAGAUAUUCAGGAAACUUUCCCUUUAAGGUUAGAAGUGCUUUGAAAUCUAGAGCAUAUUCCUAAACACCAUCGUGUUUCCUGAACAGACAUGUUCAGUGAAGUUUCCCACCCUUCACUACAAACCCUGAGUGGUGACAGCCCAGUGGGGGUGUGGGGAGGAAGAGGGGGAGAGGGAGAGAGAGAGGAUGUACAGAAGAGGGACAGGCAUUCAGAGACAGAAUACUGGUGCUUUGGUCUCUGUCUCCCCACUCCAGCCAGGGGGCGCUUCAGGGUAGAGAUCACCAUCUUUUAACCCUGUCAAACCUGAAAACUACCCAUGUGUGCUCAGAGCAAGGCACCAAUUCAACAACCAUUUUAUUUAGGGCUUAUCAUAUUCCAGGCUCUGUUGUUAGGGAAAGCAUCCCCCAGUGAGAGGAUCAACAUAUGGAACUAAUUUAAAUAUCUAUCUAUCUAAUGACUAUUAGAAAAACCACAGAAUUAUCUUAAAAGACGAGCUAGAAUCAUAUGUAUUGACAGGGAAGGACACUCGAGACUAAUAGUUGAGGGGGAAAAGUUUACUAACAGUCUGUAUAGUAUGGCCCCUGUUUUGAUUGUUUUUAAAGUAUAGAUAAAUGAUCAGAGUUGGAUUUACAGCAAGGCUAAGGCUCAGAAGCUCUCACUUGCAGAGAUCUUGUUCAAAACUCUGAACUUAAUUUUGUAUUUUUCAUAAAGAGGGUCUCCAAAAAAGCAUAAGUAUGAGGUCAAAAUCUGAAUCAUUCCCUGAUAUUUAUAUACAUGACCCACUUAAGGCCAGCCGUGGUUAUCUCAGGCAGUUGGAAUAAAGAGACUUUCUCUUUUCUAUCAUCCCAAAGAGUGCCUCCUGAAAUUCCUUUAUAGGCAACCCUUCUGUUACCCGUAAUCCCUGGCCAACCCUCCCUGUGUUUCUACACCUAUCUCUGAGUGAGAUAACUCAUGGGCUUUGUAAACAGAAGUCCAAUAUUCAAAUAGUAAAUACUAUCUCUACCCUAUGUCCCAGCCAACCUAUGGGACACCUUCUCUCAUCAUCUUCCUCCAAGUUCUGCUUUUCCCUGUUUCCCAGUGACCAGUAUCAUGACCUUCCACUUCAUUCCCUUUAACCAAUAUUCCCUUAAUCUCAUAUUGUCUGUUUCUCUCCCACUCUGCUUAUUUUCUGACAAAAAGCAAAGACCAAAAAUUACAUAUAUGUGUUUCUAGGACAGAGACUUUAUUUCUCACUAGUGAUAAAAAUUUUCUAGCACAAUAAAUAUGCCUAAAAUCUACUUAAAACUUAAGACAAAUAAAAAUAGCUAGUAAAGUCCAUAAAACCAACAGCAGUACUUUAACUAGAUUAUAUUGCUUUUUUGCAUAUGUUUUCCUUAUGUGGUAAUGUUUGGUGCCCAG